CCUACGGGCGGCUGCAGUGGGGAAUAUUGGACAAUGGGCGAAAGCCUGAUCCAGCCAUGCCGCGUGUGUGAAGAAGGCCUUCGGGUUGUAAAGCACUUUCAGUGGGGAAGAAAGCCUUGGGGCUAAUACCCUCGAGGAAGGACAUCACCCACAGAAGAAGCACCGGCUAAUUCCGUGCCAGCAGCCGCGGUAAUACGGAGGGUGCGAGCGUUAAUCGGAAUUACUGGGCGUAAAGCGCGCGUAGGCGGUCUGAUAAGCCGGUUGUGAAAGCCCCGGGCUCAACCUGGGAACGGCAUCCGGAACUGUCAGGCUAGAGUGCAGGAGAGGAAGGUAGAAUUCCCGGUGUAGCGGUGAAAUGCGUAGAGAUCGGGAGGAAUACCAGUGGCGAAGGCGGCCUUCUGGACUGACACUGACGCUGAGGUGCGAAAGCGUGGGUAGCAAACAGGAUUAGAUACCCCAGUAGUC
rnacentral:rRNA from 1 species